CAGAAAAUAGUUUAACUAAAAUACUAACUUUGGAUGUUAAAGAUGUAAAAACUUUUCUGA
rnacentral:tRNA from 1 species